AGUCCGCCAUAUUGGAUGCCGCAGCCGCUGCUGCCAGCGCUUCCUCCUCUGUCUUCGCCGAACGGGGCUGGUUCCUGCGGCCCGAGCGGCAGGGAGUGCAGUGGCCGCCGCCUCUUCCGCCGCCGGGCUCGGGGUCUCCGCAGCGACAACAUGGAGGCCGUGAAGACCUUCAAUAGCGAGGAUUGUGCCUCUACUCCUGCUUGUACAGACUGCUUUUCCAGCAGCAUGGACACAAGAAGCAUACUGUAUUCCCUGAAUGACUAUAAACCACCCAUUUCGAAAGCAAAAAUGACCCAAAUUACUAAGGCCGCCAUCAAAGCUAUUAAGUUCUAUAAACAUGUGGUACAGAGUGUUGAGAAGUUUAUUCAGAAAUGUAAACCAGAAUACAAAGUACCUGGACUUUAUGUUAUUGACUCCAUUGUGCGACAAUCCAGACAUCAGUUUGGUCAAGAAAAGGAUGUGUUUGCACCCAGAUUUAGUAAUAACAUCAUUAGCACUUUCCAGAAUUUAUAUCGUUGCCCUGGGGAUGACAAGAGUAAAAUAGUGAGAGUACUAAACUUAUGGCAGAAGAAUAAUGUAUUUAAAAGUGAGAUUAUUCAGCCUCUUUUGGAUAUGGCAGCUGGGAUUCCGCCUCCUGUUGUCACACCUGUUUUGGCCAGCACUACCACUGCUAUGAGCAAUACUCCAGGAACUCCUGUGACACCUGUUACUCCGGCCAAUGUGGUCCAAGGCUUACCUGAUCCGUGGGUAUCUCAGAUAACAAAUACAGAUACACUCGCGGCUGUGGCUCAGAUCUUGCAAAGUCCUCAAGGCCAGCAGCUUCAACAAUUAAUACAAACCUUACAGAUACAACAACAGAAGCCCCAGCCUUCCAUUCUGCAGGCCCUAGAUGCUGGUCUUGUUGUUCAGUUGCAAGCUCUUACGGCACAACUUACAGCUGCAGCUGCGGCUGCCAACACUCUUACUCCCUUAGAACAGGGAGUCUCCUUUAACAAGAAGUUGAUGGAUAGGUUUGAUUUUGGGGAAGAUUCUGAGCAUAGUGAAGAACCCAAAAAAGAAAUUCCAACUUCACAACUUUCUCACGUUUCAGAAUCUGUGAACAAUUCCAUUUUUCAUCAGAUAGCAGAACAACUACAACAGCAAAACCUAGAACAUCUCAGACAGCAGCUCUUGGAGCAGCAACAGCCUCAAAAGGCCACUCCUCAGGAUAGUCAGGAAGGAACAUUUGGGUCAGAGCAUUCAGCAUCACCAUCACAAGGGAGUAGUCAGCAGCAUUUUCUUGAACCUGAAGUCAAUUUGGAUGAUUCCAUAGAUAUUCAGCAGCAGGAUAUGGAUAUAGAUGAAGGGCAAGAUGGGGUGGAAGAGGAGGUCUUUGAACAAGAAGCUAAGAAAGUGGCAGUUCGCUCAAGAUCAAGAACACAUUCACGAUCUCGUUCAAGAUCACCAAGAAAACGAAGGUCUAGGUCACGGUCUGGCUCUAGAAAGCGUAAACACAGAAAGCGAUCACGCUCCCGCUCAAGAGAAAGAAAGAGGAAAUCAUCACGGUCGUAUUCAAGUGAAAGGAGAGCCAGAGAAAGGGAAAAAGAAAGGCAGAAAAAGGGAUUACCUCCAAUUAGAUCUAAAACACUGAGUGUAUGUAGUACUACUCUCUGGGUUGGGCAAGUGGACAAGAAGGCAACACAGCAAGACUUAACCAACCUGUUUGAAGAGUUUGGACAAAUUGAAUCCAUUAAUAUGAUUCCUCCCAGGGGCUGUGCUUAUGUCUGCAUGGUUCAUCGACAAGAUGCAUUUCGAGCUCUUCAGAAACUCAGUUCUGGAUCGUAUAAAAUUGGGUCCAAGGUCAUUAAGAUCGCUUGGGCUUUAAACAAAGGUGUAAAAACAGAAUACAAACAAUUCUGGGAUGUGGAUCUUGGAGUUACAUAUAUACCGUGGGAAAAAGUUAAAGUGGAUGACUUGGAAGGUUUUGCAGAAGGAGGCAUGAUUGAUCAGGAGACUGUAAAUACUGAGUGGGAAACUGUGAAAAGCUCAGAACCUGUUAAAGAGACGGUCCAGACAACUCAGAGCCCAACUCCAGUUGAAAAGGAGACAGUGGUCACAACCCAGGCAGAGGUUUUCCCUCCUCCUGUUGCUAUGUUGCAGAUUCCAGUGGCGCCAGCCGUGCCUACAGUUAGUUUAGUCCCACCAGCAUUUCCUGUGUCGAUGCCGGUUCCUCCUCCUGGAUUUAGUCCGAUUCCUCCACCUCCUUUUUUACGAGCAAGUUUUAACCCUUCACAACCACCACCUGGUUUCAUGCCGCCUCCAGUUCCCCCACCUGUUGUGCCACCCCCUGCAAUUCCACCAGUAGUACCAACAUCUUUGGUGCAGCCGUCAUUAUCCAUGACCCCGGAAACUGUGAAAGAUGUUGGGUUUGGUAGCCUUGUUAUACCGGGUGGCUCUGUUGCCAGCAAUCUUGCUACUUCCGCUCUGCCAGCUGGAAAUGUUUUUAAUGCUCCAACUAAACAGGCAGAGCCUGAAGAAAAAGUACCUCAUCUGAUAGACCACCAGAUUUCUUCUGGUGAAAACACGAGAUCAGUGAUUCCAAAUGAUAUUUCAAGUAAUGCUGCAAUUUUAGGAGGACAGCCACCAAAUGUGACAAGCAAUUCUGGAAUUCUGGGAGUCCAAAGACCAAAUGUAUCAAGUAAUUCUGAAAUCCUUGGGGUCCGGCCAUCUAAUGUUUCCAGUAGUUCUGGGAUUAUUGGAGCCCAACCACCAAAUAUUCUAAAUAACUCUGGAAUAUUGGGAAUACAGCCACCCAGUGUGUCAAGUGGUUCUGGACUUUUGGGAGUGCUACCCCCAAAUAUACCUAACAAUUCUGGACUUGUAGGAAUACAGCCACCAAAUAUUCCAAAUACUUCUGGACUUCUGGGAACACAGCCACCAGCUGGACCUCAAAACUUACCCCCUUUAAGUAUCCCUAAUCAAAGGAUGCCCACAAUGCCAAUGUUAGACAUUCGUCCAGGACUAAUACCACAGGCACCUGGGCCCAGAUUCCCUUUAAUACAGCCUGGAAUUCCACCCCAGCGGGGAAUCCCACCCCCAUCGGUACUUGAUUCAGCUCUUCAUCCACCACCCCGUGGACCUUUUCCUCCAGGAGAUAUUUUUAGUCAGCCAGAAAGACCUUUUUUAGCUCCUGGAAGACAAAGCAUAGACAAUGUUGCUAACCCAGAGAAAAGAAUACCACUUGGGAAUGAUAACAUUCAACAGGAAGGAGAUAGAGAUUACCGAUUUCCUCCUAUAGAAACCAGGGAAAGCAUUAGUAGACCUCCCCCUGUGGAUGUUAGAGAUGUGGUUGGGCGGCCUAUAGAUCCAAGAGAAGGUCCUGGACGGCCUCCACUAGAUGGUAGGGAUCAUUUUGGAAGACCUCCUGUAGAUAUAAGAGAGAAUCUUGUGAGGCCAGGUAUAGAUCAUCUUGGUCGAAGAGACCACUUUGGCUUUAAUCCUGAGAAGCCCUGGGGGCAUAGAGGAGAUUUUGAUGAGAGAGAGCAUCGGGUUCUACCGGUCUAUGGUGGUCCAAAAGGCUUACAUGAAGAAAGAGGUAGAUUUCGGUCUGGAAACUAUCGAUUUGAUCCUAGAAGUGGUCCUUGGAACCGAGGAUUUGGACAAGAAGUUCACAGAGAUUUUGAUGACCGCAGAAGACCCUGGGAGAGGCAAAGGGAUAGGGAUGACAGAGAUUUUGAUUUCUGCAGAGAAAUGAACGGAAAUCGUCUUGGACGAGACAGAAUUCAAAACACUUGGGUUCCCCCUCCUCAUGCUCGGGUUUUUGAUUAUUUUGAAGGGGCCACUUCUCAACGAAAAGGUGAUAAUGUGCCUCAGGUUAAUGGUGAAAAUACAGAGAGACAUGCUCAGCCACCACCUAUACCAGUACAGAAUGAUCCUGAACUUUAUGAAAAACUGACAUCUUCAAAUGAAAUAAACAAGGAGAAGAGUGACACAGUUGCUGAUAUAGAAAGUGAACCAGUGGUAGAAAGCACAGAAACUGAGGGGACAUAAUCAUCACUCAGUAGGUUAAUGAUGAAAUGGCAGGUAAUUCACACUUUUGGACAGAGCACACCGCCCCCGUGGAAUCACCCUACAGAAGAGGCCAGCUAUAAAGGAUGUCUCACACCUUUAAGAUCAGUGUUUCUCAAUGUGUGGACCAUGGAUACCUGUAUUAGAAUACACAAAGGAUUUGUUUAAAAUUCAGGCUGAGCCCCUCCCAAGACCUAAUAGAGCUAAAAGCUUUGGGAGUAGGUGGAGGAAACCUGCAUCUUUACCCAGCAAUCCAGGUUCCUCAUAUACUUUCUAUCACACGCACAUUUUCACGAGAGCAAAGUCUACCCUUAACUGAAAUGAAUGACUGCUGAAUGAUCAGGAACUCCAAGUCCACAUGGAAUUCUUGCUCUUCGGUCCCAGACUCUCCCUCCUGUGUCCCCCUCAGGCAGAAACCUAAAAUCACAACAGAGCCAGGACAUGGACUGAUGGCUCGAUGGCCUAGAAUGUGUAUGGAUUUCACCUGUGCCCUGGGCCUCGCUGGACUUUUCUAGAUAUCUACAAGUGGCGGCUUGCUCUCUUUCUCCUCAUCCCAGUAUUGUGGAGUGUGGCUACGAAAGGCAAGAUGAUGAUGAAUGAAGUCCUGGCAGCUUCCUGUGUCCCAGGCCUUGUAGAAAUAAAUGAGACAGACGUGCUUCAAAGUUCUAAUGUGCAUCACAUCGGAUCUUGUUUAAGGAAGCGUUAAAAGGAACCCACCGUUACCUAUUGAGAAGGCUCUGUGCUCUCAGGCAUUGUUUCUGAUUGAAUCCAGAGGUUGCAAGCAUGCCUCCCUGUAUUACCUGUUGGAGCAGGUUUAAUUUUAUAAAUUUUAAACACAAACUCUAUGAGUUUCUAGUUCAUAAUUGUUCUUUUUGGGGAUCCACUCAGAUGAACAGUAUUGCAUCUGUAAGAGAUACCCACUUCCACAGGACCAGAUUUCAUUGCAAUAUCAGUGGCAACAGACUCCAUCUGUAGCAUCAUCCAGUACCAGUGAUGGGAAGGACAGAUGGCAAGGAAACCCUUCGGGGGGGAGAAAAAACGUCAUAUUGUGUUGGACCUACAGAUUACUAGAACCAUAGCUUUAGUAAACCAAGGCUUUUUUUCUUGAACACAAUCUGUGUAGACUGUGUAGUUCUUGAUUGGUGGCUUUAAUCCGUUAUCAUUAGGUAUCUCCUUGAACAUUCUCAAACACUGAAAAUCUUAAGCUUUCAUUAAAAAAAAAAAAGUAAUUGCAGCUUUCAGAAAAUCCAGGAUUCAGUACAGUCUUCCGAGUGUUUGACUUCAGCCUCCCUGUCCUGUAAUUACCAACAGCAGGUACCCGGGUGGUAGACAAGAAGCCUUGCGGGAUAGAUAAGGAAAUGAGGAGGAACAAACAUAUCACAUGGUUCAUAAACAUACUUUAUAAGUACAUUUCUUAUUAGCUUCUCAUUCGGGCAGAGAUUAUAAAAGUUUGCUGCAAGUAUCCAGACCAGGAUUUGUGUUUUGGAAAUUAUCAGUGUUCACAAUACCUGCAGGGAAGAAAAAAAUAUAAAAACUCAAAUAUGAAUACUGUUUACACCCAAAAGAACAUUUUUAUCAUUCUUUUCUUUGUUUUUGGCUCUGUCAAAAAUUAAAGUGCUUGGAAUGCUGUAGUCUGUGGUCUCUUGAAAUUUAAUCAAUGAGAACCUAGCAUUUUCACAGUAUGCUGUCACUUUGGACAUUCAUAAUAAAAAUUGAAACUAA